rnacentral:rRNA from 1 species
GAUGAACGCUAGCGGCAGGCCUAACACAUGCAAGUCGAGGGAGAAGCCCUUCGGGGCAGAAACCGGCGCACGGGUGCGUAACGCGUAUGCAACCUACCUUUCACAGGGGGAUAGCCCGAAGAAAUUUGGAUUAAUACCCCAUAAUAUUAUUGGGUGGCAUCAUUUGAUAAUUAAAAUUACGAUGGUGAAAGAUGGGCAUGCGUCCUAUUAGCUAGUUGGAGUGGUAACGGCACCCCAAGGCUACGAUAGGUAGGGGUCCUGAGAGGGAGAUCCCCCACACUGGUACUGAGACAGGGACCAGACUCCUACGGGAGGCAGCAGUGAGGAAUAUUGGUCAAUGGUCGGAAGACUGAACCAGCCAUGCCGCGUGCAGGAAGAAUGCCUUAUGGGUUGUAGACUGCUUUUAUAUGGGAAGAAUAAGGAGUACGUGUACUUUGAUGACGUACCAUAUGAAUAAGCAUCGCA